rnacentral:rRNA from 1 species
GAGUUUGAUCAUGGCUCAGAUUGAACGCUGGCGGCAGGCUUAACACAUGCAAGUCGAGCGGGGACUUCGGUCCUAGCGGCGAACGGGUGAGGAAUGCUUGGGAAUCUGCCUAGUAGUGGGGGAUAACGUUUCGAAAGGAACGCUAAUACCGCAUACGCCCUACGGGGGAAAGGGGGGGAUCUUCGGACCUCUCGCUAUUAGAUGAGCCCAAGUCGGAUUAGCUAGUUGGUGAGGUAAAGGCUCACCAAGGCGACGAUCCGUAGCUGGUCUGAGAGGAUGAUCAGCCACACUGGAACUGAGACACGGUCCAGACUCCUACGGGAGGCAGCAGUGGGGAAUAUUGGACAAUGGGCGAAAGCCUGAUCCAGCCAUGCCGCGUGUGUGAAGAAGGCCUUCGGGUUGUAAAGCACUUUAAGCGAGGAGGAAUGGCUCUGGGUUAAUACCCUUGAGCAGUGACGUUACUCGCAGAAUAAGCACCGGCUAACUCUGUGCCAGCAGCCGCGGUAAUACAGAGGGUGCAAGCGUUAAUCGGAAUUACUGGGCGUAAAGCGCGCGUAGGCGGUUACGUAAGUUGGAUGUGAAAUCCCGGGCUC